AUUGUAAAAAUAUUCUUAUUAUUUAUAUAUUGUGUUUGCUGGGUAAAUAAUAGACGAUUACUGAUUUACAUCCAGUCAAAUAUGAAAAACUUGGGUUCUAUGAGUUAUUUCAUCUUUUGUUUAGCAGGACAUAAGUUACAAUAUAUGAAAAAAUAGCCAAUAUUCCGCCAAAAACCAAAAUCUUAUGUAUUUGGUGCAUUCUUUCAUUUGAAAAAAAAUAAAAUAAAAUGCGACCAUCGCAUAAAUAAUAAAAAAAUCCAGUUAUUUUCUCCAUCAAAUCGAGCAAUCCGACUUUGUUGCGUCUGGCUCUUACUUUCACAUGUAAUCUUCAUUUCUUCUUCAGGAACUAAAGAAAAUUGACGAUACAAUUAAUUAAUAUAUGAUUUUGUUCAUUUUUCUUUCACAGAUAUAUUUUUUAGAUCGCAAUCCUUCGAAGGAUUAAUGAACCUGGCAACGAAUAAACAUGACAAAUUGUGCUAAUCAGUUUCGCCAAGACGUCAAAGACGUCAAGUCGGCCUACUAGCACGAUAAUCUCUGAACCGGACAAACGCGAAGAAAGACUUUCGCAGUCAGUCUUUCCUUCCUCUUUUACACAUGCAACGACAAUGAUGAUGACGACGAUGAUGACGAUAACGGAAAUCAGCGGUUUCUAUUUCGUGCUCAACGUGAAAGGUGCACGAAGAUGGAUCAAAUUAAAUGACGUAUCAUUAUGGGUGCAGGGAACGCGAAAUAACGGGUGUAGCAAAAAUAUGGACUAUUGCUGCUUCAAGAACGUCUUCUACUCAUCCAAAUGAGGAAAAAAAUUCAUACCAAAAAUGACUUUUUAUUGAUCCCUUCAUCCUGAUCUGAUGUUUGACAGAACGUUUGACAGUAUAGGCUUCUAUAUAUCUGCUAAGGAGGGGAAGCAGAAGAAAAUGAAUGCUUAAAAGAACAAAAAAUGCUGAUGAUCCCAGAUGAAUUAAUAAGAGGCUUUCUUAAUCGAGCCAUUUAUUUAUUCCUUUUUUAAACUUUUUCAUAGAUCCUUUCUUCCCUUCUGGCGACUGAUGGGAGCAACCCCUCCAGUACCUGGGGAGGAUACUUUCCCUGAGUGAAAGCGCAGUGUCAAGGUCAUCAGACGCAGUCGGAAAAUUGUCGGAGUUAAACCGGUUUUCUCUCUCUCGCGAAUAGAAUAUGGGCGAUUCUUAUUCGAUCGACCCGGCGUCGACGUUCAUCGUCAUCGUCGUUCUCAUCGAUAAGUAUACGACACACAGUGCUUUAUGCCAUGCUUCUUUUUGUUGGAAAUAAAAUGACCGCGAGAUAUAUUUAUGUACAACAUGAUUCCGCGAUUUCUCUCGCACGCGAUUGCCAUCAUAGAGAAAUAAGUAUGAUUGGCAGAUGAGAAAAAAACUGACAUGGAGCAGCUAUACAUAUAUAUAAUAUAUAUAAUCUUAA